GUAACGAGCGCAACCCUUGUCCUUAGUUACCAGCACGUUAUGGUGGGCACUCUAAGGAGACUGCCGGUGACAAACCGGAGGAAGGUGGGGAUGACGUCAAGUCAUCAUGGCCCUUACGGCCUGGGCUACGCACGUGCUACAAUGGUCGGUACAAAGGGUUGCCAAGCCGCGAGGUGGAGCUAAUCCCAUAAAACCGAUCGUAGUCCGGAUCGCAGUCUGCAACUCGACUGCGUGAAGUCGGAAUCGCUAGUAAUCGUGAAUCAGAAUGUCACGGUGAAUACGUUCCCGGGCCUU
rnacentral:rRNA from 1 species